rnacentral:rRNA from 1 species
UGGGGAAUCUUCCGCAAUGGGCGAAAGCCUGACGGAGCAACGCCGCGUGAGUGAAGACGGCCUUCGGGUUGUAAAGCUCUGUUAUACGGGACGAAAAGUCUUGUGGUUAAUACCCAUGAGAAGUGACGGUACCGUAAGAGAAAGCCACGGCUAACUACGUGCCAGCAGCCGCGGUAAUACGUAGGUGGCAAGCGUUGUCCGGAAUUAUUGGGCGUAAAGGGCGCGCAGGCGGCUUCUUAAGUCUGUCUUAAAAGUGCGGGGCUUAACCCCGUGAUGGGAUGGAAACUGGGAAGCUCAGAGUAUCGGAGAGGAAAGCGGAAUUCCUAGUGUAGCGGUGAAAUGCGUAGAUAUUAGGAGGAACACCAGUGGCGAAAGCGGCUUUCUGGACGAAAACUGACGCUGAGGCGCGAAAGCCAGGGGAGCGAACGGGAUUAGAUACCCCGGUAGUCCUGGCCGUAAACGAUGGGUACUAGGUGUAGGAGGUAUCGACCCCUUCUGUGCCGGAGUUAACGCAAUAAGUACCCCGCCUGGGGAGUACGGCCGCAAGGUUG